CGCUUGGUUUAUACCUACCAAGUAGAUUCUGCCCAAUGAAUUUUUGAAUGGCCGCAGUACCCUGACUGUGCUAAGGUAGCAUAAUAACUUGUCUUUUAAUUGAAGGCUAGAAUGAAUGAACUGACGAAGGGGAUACUGUCUCAGAAAGGUAAAGAAAAUUUAUAUUCAGGUAAAAAAUCCUGAAAGAUGUAGAGGGACGAUAAGACCCUAAAAGCUUUACCCUUAAACCCCAAGUUUCUCUAGAUAUAACGGGCUUAACGGGUUUUCACUGGGGCGGUGCCUCUACCUAACUAGAGUAAUGUAAACACCUUGAGUGAAUAUAUACCUACCCUUACUAAAGGAUUUAGGCAAGUUACUUUAGGGAUAACAGCGUAAUUCUCUGAGAGAGCCCCUAUCGACCAGAGAGUUUACGACCUCGAUGUUGAAUUGAAGACUUAGCUAGAGAAGCAUUUAGCUCUAAGAAGACUGUUCGUCUUUGGAAUCUUC
rnacentral:rRNA from 1 species